GAGCUUUCAGCAAGUGGUAAUUACUAAUCAUAGACCACCAUAACAAAUAUAAUAAUGAGAAAGUUUGAAAUUUUUCGUGAAUUACCAAAAUGUGAGAAACAUGGAGUGUGCAGGGGGAAAUUGGGGCCAUUUUAGAAGCUGCCUGCACACUGAACAGUACCAUUUCUGGGUACAGGGAAAAGAAACGUGACAAAUUGUCCAUUGACUCCUAAAUGAUUCUUUUUGGAAGUGGCAUACAGUACUUCUGCUCAUAUUUUGUGGCCAAACAGGUCGCACUGCCACCACUAACUUCCAAGGGAUAGGAAAUUGCAGUCCUACCAUGUACUGGAAAGAAGAGGGAACCCAGAGCAUUUGUGAAUAGUACUGACUGUAAGUCCCAGGUGCAGAACAUGACGUUAACUGGGAUUUGUCCUUUAGUCCAGGAUGGAAACUAGGAUUAAGAGGUGAGCCAUUAAGGACCCCACAGUGCAAAAAAAGAGCCAUAAAUAACUGGGUGCCAGACAACCUCUCCACUUCCAGGACUUACUAAAGGGUGACCAGUCUUCUCCAUCCUCAACCGUUUCCCCAGACCUGUUCUGACAACCCCCACUUCAGAUAACUUCAAGAUUAGUUGGAGCGGUGGGGAUGGGAACCAGCAGCCAUGAAUCAGCCGGGGAAAAGGACCCCCUGGGUUUGCUCCAAAAAUCAAGUGAGGAUUCCAAGCGAUUCCCCCUUGGAGACUGGGGCUGCUCGCAAGAAGGAGGUUGGAAACCUGUAUAGAAACAAGAGGGAGGAAGGGAGGCCAAGUGGACAUCCCAUUAGGUGUUCUGGCUGGAGGGGGAACUACGGGCCCAGGGAGUUGGCAGGGGUCACCCUGGGUUGGGGCUACGCAUCAGAGAACUGUGCGGGAGACAGCGCCGCACACUUGGGCACCCAGCGACCCAAUCCUCAGCACGCCACCGGGAAAGCUCGGGCACCCGGCGGCGGUGGGGUCUACAGAGACCGCGCGCCGCAGGGUCUUGUGGGAGGUGCGGCGGGGCUGUCCGUGCGCAGGCGCAGUGCUGCCGGACCGCGGGCUUGACCCCCGCCACCAAGCGCUGGCAAAGCUGGGCCGCUCUUUGCAGCGCCCCAAGUUACUCGCGGAGAGACUGGAGCUCACAGGGGCACUCUGGGUCAGCGGAGCCAUGCAGGUCAGAGCGCCAGACUGCGGGUACGAUGGAGGGACUUGAACCCCAAAUCUGGGGCCUCGGGAGCAAUGGUCUCAAAAAGAGGGUGAUGCUGAGAUUUGGCUAUGGAGUGUGGGAACCUUCCACGUUCUCUAAGCACUCACUUCGCCGGGCUCUGCUCGUCUCCGACGGGGGUUAGUGGCAUCUGUCCCCGAGUGGUUUGUGGGUCCCUUUCUCCUUCCGACUCCAGGCUUGGCGCCGCAACCCUGCGCGGGGCUGCUCCGGCUCUGAGUGUCCCCCGGGUCAGGGCCGCAAUCCCGCGGCUCCUCUCUCAGAGCAGUGUGCCCCGGGGGAUCCACCCUUUGGUGCCUCGGGUUUCUCUCAAGUGUUGUAUCGCCUGCGUUGCCGUUCUUGUGUCCAGUGGUCCCUAGCCCGAGUUCCUCCAGCUCUGUCUCCUUAACUCCGUAACCUUGCCCAGGCAGAAGAAGAAAUGACCACUUCCAGGCAAGAAACUUUACGACUGUGCUGAGUAUGGGAAGAGCGUCCAUCGGAGCAUAGGUCUUCACUAUCAUCAGAGAAUUCACACCGGAGAGAAACCUUUCAUAUGUGAUACAUGUGAAAAAGGCUUCAGUUAUAACACAAAACUUUGUGUUCAUUGGAGAGUCCACACAGGAGAGAAACCUUUUAAGUGUGAAAAGUGUGGCAAGGGCUUCACUCAGAGCUCCAAUCUUCACAUCCAUCAGAGAGUCCACACUGGAGAAAAACCUUUCAUAUGUGAUACAUGUGGCAAAAGCUUUAGUUACAACACAAAUCUUCAUGCUCAUCGGAGAGUUCACACAGGAGAGAAACCUUUUAAGUGUGGGGAGUGUGGCAAGGGCUUCUAUCAGAGCGCUAAGCCUCACAUCCAUAAGAGUCCACACUGGAGAGAAACUCUACAAAUGUGGUUAAGUGUGGUAAGGACUUCAGUCAGAACAUAGAUCUCCAAAUGCAUCAGAGACUCCACACAAGAGAGAAACUCUGCAAGUGUGUGUGAUUCAGAGCAUCAGUCUCCAAGUUUAUCAAAGAAUUCACACAGAGAGACCAUUAAAUAUGAAAGAUGUGGUAAGGGUUUCAGUUACAACAUGAACUUUCAUGUUCAUGAGAGGGACCACAGGGUCUCACAAGGGUAGAAACCUUGUGUACCUGAGAAGUGAGCUCAAGUCUUCAUAUUCCUCAGAUCCCAGGGAAGAAUCCUAUGAAAUGAAAUUGUGUGUCAGGCUCUGGACUGACCAUCUCCAUAGAAGGUUGGGUUGAUUCCAUCUCAAAGAGGAUUAUGUUGGACAUAACCCAUGAGUUACCCAGCACCAGUGACAAACAAGGUCUUCUUCCUGGGAAAGACACCCCUUACCUGGCAAAGGCCUUUCUAGGAUGAAAGCCUCCUGGGACUAAUUGAGCAUCUCCUCAUCCAUCUGUCAUGUCUCCAGGCUGCUGGAUGCCUUGCACCAUGGAUUGUAGAAAUCUCCAGGUAAGGCAUCUUCAGAGUAGAUGUUGCUAGAAGAGACAGCUAAAGAAAGGGACUGCAUCAGGGUUUGUGGAAGGGAGUUAGAGUAGAGGAAAACAAAUCUGAAAGGGAAUGAUUAGAAGGAAAAGUGUCUAGGAGGGAGCUUGUGGGAUAGUGGGGGUGGAAAGCCCAGAAGUUUCUCUAAAGUCUCUAGCAAGUGUGGUGACCCCCCAGUACAGGGCCUUCCCUGGAAGUCUGAGCUGAGCAGAGAGUGGUCUACAGUGGGUAGAUCUGGACCCCAUCAGUAUUAGGGCCAGUUGAGACCAGAGGUAGAAGAGCUGCUGGGAGGGGCCUUGGAAAGCAACUCCAUCAAGGCAACUCUUGAUCCUUUCAAGAGGCAUAAAUUAAUCAGAGACAGAGCCUGGGGCCUGGCAAUGAAGAGGGAAUACCUGGGCCAUUGGAGGUUAGGAAGAGGUCAAGGACCCAGUUUCAUCACUGAAUUGUGGAUAGGGAAGAGAAAUGCUUUGUCUGAAUCCUUCACUUAGGAGCAGUAUGUUCUGUAUGCACCCUAAGCAGCCAUUUCAAGGGGAAGGAUAUCUACAAUUAGUAGGCCUUUGGGGCUCUAGGAGGACUGUCAGCUGAGCUGUCCAGAGACCAUCAGCUCACACUGGGAGAGGGGCUUGGUAUGCCUGAGGUCUUUAAUGGCAACUGGCAUCUGAGAGGCACUCAAAUAUCACUGAAUGAAGGUAUUAAUAAAAUUCUAACAACUCACAUUUUAUAUCAGUUUCUUUUCCUUCUUCCUCUUCCUUUUUCCUCUUUGUU